rfam:Stegodyphus mimosarum contig19713, whole genome shotgun sequence.
GCCUUCAUGGUAUAACGGUUAGCACACUCGGCGCCUAUUCGAGAGGUCCAGGUUCGAGUCCCGGCGACGGCA